GUUGAAUCUGGCCACGAGUGUCUUAUUCGGGCAGAUGGCUACUAUGUUGAGACUGUUGCAUGUAUCCUGUUUGGAUUCCUGUGGCUGCGCUGGGGACGGGGUGCUGUCAGGAGGUUGCAGAACCUGCCGCCCUCUGCAUGGAAGUGCCCCAGAAAUAUUGUGGACCAAAGAGUGGAAUAGCAAAUGUUUGUUGCUUGAAGACCCGGUUGUGGAAAAGCACAUUCCUAGGAUUUUUAAUGGAUAUCUUUUAUACGCACUGUUGACAUGUGGGAGUUUAAGAAAAUUAUUUGUUAACAUUAUUGAAUAAAUAUCGUUUCUUUUCA